GUACACGCUGUGACUAGCAUAUCAAUAAGCGGAGGAAAAGAAACUAACAAGGAUUCCCCUAGUAACGGCGAGUGAAGCGGGAAGAGCUCAAAUUUGGAAUCUUAAAGGGCUUCCCUCUACGAAUUGUAGUUUAAAGAAGUGUUUUCUGUUGAGGUUUUGGUAAAAGUUCUUUGGAAUAGGACAUCAUAGAGGGUGAGAAUCCCGUAUUUGACCUUUACUUUCAACUUUGUGAUACACUUUCAAAGAGUCGGAUUGUUUGGGAAUGCAGUCCAAAAUGGGUGGUAAAUUUCAUCUAAAGCUAAAUAUUGGCGAGAGACCGAUAGCGAACAAGUACCGUGAGGGAAAGAUGAAAAGAACUUUGAAAAGAGAGUUAAACAGUACGUGAAAUUGUCAAAAGGGAAGCGUUUGACACCAGUGUUGUUUUUCUGAAAAUCAAUUAAAGAACUGUUUAUGCUAAGUUGUUUAGACUUUAUCAGCUAUCUGUUUAGUUUUGAGCUUUUCUUUAAUGCACUUUUCAGUUAACAAGUCAACAUCAAUUUCUUUUGCUGUAAAAAAGCUUGAGGAAGGUGGCUUGAGAUUCGUCUUAAGUGUUUAUAGCCUCUUGCCUAUGCAGUCGGAGAGAUUGAGGUCUGCAGCGUAGAUCCUUCGGGGCUAAAUGCAUUUGUGCUAAGUUAUAGCAUUUUAUAGACAACUUGUUGACUAUGAUUUGUCUUGUAGCUUACUCGCUUAUGUUAUUUUACCUACGCUUAGGAUGUUGAGUCGUAGAGCACGCAG
rnacentral:rRNA from 1 species